rnacentral:rRNA from 1 species
AGAAGGAGCUUGCUCCCGGAUGUUAGCGGCGGACGGGUGAGUAACACGUGGGUAACCUGCCUGUAAGACUGGGAUAACUCCGGGAAACCGGAGCUAAUACCGGAUAGUUCCUUGAACCGCAUGGUUCAAGGAUGAAAGACGGUUUCGGCUGUCACUUACAGAUGGACCCGCGGCGCAUUAGCUAGUUGGUGGGGUAAUGGCUCACCAAGGCGACGAUGCGUAGCCGACCUGAGAGGGUGAUCGGCCACACUGGGACUGAGACACGGCCCAGACUCCUACGGGAGGCAGCAGUGGUCUACA